GUCCUCUUCCGAUCUUUCAAACAGAGUGCUUCAGACAAAGGGCGAAAAGAAGUGCUGCAGUACAGCCGGUAUAAGAAAAAUAAAGCGUUUUUGGAACAUUAAAGCAUGUAAACAUGUUCUAGUAGAAACACAAAAUACAAGUAUGCACCUGUGAAUUGGCUUAAUAGGUCCUCUUUAAAUUGGCACUUUCAAUUGUAUGUUAUUGUUGUAAAAGAAUGGCCAAAUUUAGUAUAGAUUGUGGCCAUUAAAUCACAUGGAUAAAAAACAAUCCUCACUUAUCAAAUCACGUCAGCACUAUCUGGA